GACGAACGUUGGCGGCGUGCUUAAUACAUGCAAGUCCACUGAAGCAGUGGUAGCAAUAUCGCUGUGGAGGUGGCGCACGGGUGAGUAACACGCAGGUAAUCUGCCUUCAGGUCUGGCAUAACUCCGGGAAACCGGGGCUAAUAGCAGAUGAUGCAGCGGCUCGACAUCGAGACAGUUGUUAAAGCUAUGGCGCCUGAAGAUGAGCCUGCGUCUGAUUAGCUAGUUGGCGGGGUAACGGCCCACCAAGGCAACGAUCAGUAGCUGGUCUGAGAGGAUGAUCAGCCACACUGGAACUGAGACACGGUCCAGACUCCUACGGGAGGCAGCAGUAAGGAAUAUUGCUCAAUGGGAGAAAUCCUGAAGCAGCAACGCCGCGUGAGGGACGAAGGGCUUUUGCUUGUAAACCUCUGUAGUGAGAGAAAAAAAUCCCAAUCUUUGGGACAUGAUGGUAUCUCAAAAGUAAGCCCCGGCUAACUACGUG
rnacentral:rRNA from 1 species